rfam:Triticum aestivum genome assembly, contig: Triticum_aestivum_CS42_TGACv1_scaffold_063016_1DL
UAAGUAUUCCCUCCAUCCAAAAAUACUUGUUGUUGGAGAAAUAAAUGUAUCUAAACGUAUUUUAGUUUUAGAUACAUUCAUUUUAUCCAUUUCUACGACAAGUAUUUUUGAACGGAGAGAGUACUUG